rnacentral:sRNA from 1 species
UGAACUGUCAAGACUAAUGUCUACCAAAU